rnacentral:rRNA from 1 species
CCAAUAGCGUAUAUUAGUGUUGUUGCGGUUAAAAAGCUCGUAGUUGAAUUUCGGGAUUGGGAUAUAUCGGUCAUGCCUUUAGGGGCAUGAAUUGGUGUGUAGCCAAUUUCUCACCUUCUGGUGAAUUGGGAUGCUCUUGGGUGUUUCAAUGAACUAGGACUUUUACUUUGAAAAAAAUAGAGUGUUUAAAGCGGGCAUUUUUGCUUGAAUACAUUAGCAUGGAAUAAUAAAAUAGGACGAUGGUUCUAUUUUGUUGGUUUUAGGACCACGUAAUGAUUAAUAGGGAUAGUUGGGGGCAUUAGUAUUCAAUAGUCAGAGGUGAAAUUCUUGGAUUUAUUGAGGACUAACUACUGCGAAAGCAUUUGCCAAGGAUGUUUUCAUUAAUCAAGAACGAAAGUUAGGGGAUCGAAGACGAUUUAUGUACGUCGUAGUCUUAACCAUAAACUAUGCCGACUAGGAAUCAGACAAAGUUCAUUUUUUAACGACUUGUUUGGUACCUUACG